GUGGGGAAUAUUGCACAAUGGAGGAAACUCUGAUGCAGCGACGCCGCGUGAGUGAAGAAGUAGUUCGCUAUGUAAAGCUCUAUCAGCAGGGAAGAUAGUGACGGUACCUGACUAAGAAGCUCCGGCUAAAUACGUGCCAGCAGCCGCGGUAAUACGUAUGGAGCAAGCGUUAUCCGGAUUUACUGGGUGUAAAGGGAGUGUAGGUGGCCAGGCAAGUCAGAAGUGAAAGCCCGGGGCUCAACCCCGGGACUGCUUUUGAAACUGCAGGGCUAGAGUGCAGGAGGGGCAAGUGGAAUUCCUAGUGUAGCGGUGAAAUGCGUAGAUAUUAGGAGGAACACCAGUGGCGAAGGCGGCUUGCUGGACUGUAACUGACACUGAGGCUCGAAAGCGUGGGGAGCAAACAGGAUUAGAAACCCGUGUAGUCC
rnacentral:rRNA from 1 species